AACUUUCAGCAACGGAUCUCUUGGCUCUCGCAUCGWUGAAGAACGCAGCGAAAUGCGAUAAGGUAAUGUGAAUUGCAGAAUUCAGUGAAUCAUCRAAUCUUUGAACGCACCUUGCGCUCCUUGGUAUUCCGAGGAGCAUGCCUGUUUAGAGUGUCAU
rnacentral:rRNA from 1 species